rnacentral:lncRNA from 1 species
GUGCUAAUCUGCGUCAGCUGGGGCUGUAUUUGGAAGAAGAGGCGCUGCCUCCAGUCAAGUCUGUUUUUUUCAGGUGGGGACUGUAGGCCUUUGUGCCCUGCUGGAAAUCGUGAAAAGCAAGAGAGAAGAGUCCCAGUUAUUCUUGCUGCCUUUGAUAAGUGAAUUUAGGGCAACUACUAGUGCCAGUAGGCAUGGGGGAUCUACCGAUGAAGAAGACACAAAGUCUCCGCUCUCGUGGAGUUUACAGAGAAUAAUGAAUGAGAUUAAUUAAGAAAUGAAUGAGAUUAAUUGAAUGAAAUUGCCAGACUGAAUGAAGUGAAUGGCCUGAAUAUAAACAAUUUCCAAAUACAGAUAACACUGCAUAUCUGGUGUUUGCAAUACUCCCUUCGCACUUGAGGAAGAAGCACUAUGUCUGGGGCCAAGUGUGACCCUUUGUCUGUUGCUGGGUACCUUUCAUUUCGCACUUUCUCCUCUGCUGCUCUCCAGAGGAAGUUAUUGUCCCAAAGUUGUGUGUCAUGCCCGAAGUGUCUGGGAUCCCCGAGUGCCUGUGGUGCCCAAGAGCUAUGAAUCUGCUAUCAUCAACACAGAGGGUACCUUCUGAAUGGGCUAUGUCUACAGUGAUGCUGCAAAUGGAAGCUAACCCUAGGAUGACUGGCCUCUGACACUUGAGCCAUCCCAUCAUCUGUCAUGGGUUGACCCAUCCAUCCCCUCAAUGAGCCUGACCUUCAGGACCACUGACAGAGGAGCAGUCAAUAGAAAUUAAUUGUUAAAUACCCAGAAAAUCUGAAAUGGUAUUUAAUAUGCAGUUCAUCAAGAGCAAAAGUUCCUUAAAUCUUCAUCUAGAAAAGUUAUUUAUAAGGGAUGAAUAUGUUGUAUGAAUAUGUUGUAUGCAAAUAUUAUAUUCAAGGGCAAGACCAUGAAAACAGUUUAAGAAUCCGACAGGGAAUUAGAUAAAGACAUCGGAGUGCACUUGUCAAAAUACAGCUAUCAAGAAUGAUGAUGUUGAAAAAUAGUUUAGCAAUAUAAUUGUCUAGAACCACAGGGAGUCUGAGAUUUUACCCAACUUGUGAGUUAACAACUCUGCUAUAGCUUCAUGAAAGAAGACACAAGACUCCUGGGUCAGGAACAAAGGUCUCUAAUACUCACAGCAAUAUCAGGAGCCAGAAUUUCAGGAUCCUUUUUCCUGCCAGUUUCUCAAGUCCUAAUUACCACCGAGUUACAGGAAAGGGCCAGGUAACACUAGCACUGCCAUCAGUGGCUGUAUUACAGAACAGGAACUCCAAGCUUAGGAAACCCAAAUCUUUUAUAGUUAACAAUGAACACAUCUGCCAUUGUUCUGAAGGGAGACGCUACCCCAAUCUUCCACACCUGUUCACUAUAUAAAUAUCUGUGAAAAGAUAGACAGAAAAAUAGGUGGAGAAUGCCUCUGCUCACAAGAUGUGCAGAAACGUGAGAGGCUCAUGGAGAACUGUUUCCCUACAAUGACAAAAUGCUGACGAUAUAUUGUUAUGUAAAAUAAAGCAGGCAUUUUUCACCUCAUUUUCAUGAAAUAUAGUGUGUUUAUAUAGAUAUUUAGAAAAGUAUGAAAGGACAUUCAUCCAGAUAUCAAUAGAAGAGUUUAUUAUUUUUGCUAGUUGUAAGUUCAAACUUUUCUAGUAAAAAUAGAUUACUUGUGAAAUUAUUUUUAAUCUUUUUUUUUUUUUGAGAUGGAGUCUUGCUCUGUCGCCCAGGCUCGAGUGCAGUGGCAUGAUCUCAGCUCACUGCAACAUCCACCUCCUGGGUUCAAGCAAUUCUCCUGCCUCAGCCUCCUGAGUAGCUGGGAUUAUAGGUGCAUGCCACCAUGCCCAGCUAAUUUUUGUAUUUUUAGUAGAGACGGGAUUUCACCAUGUUGGUCAGGCUGGUCUCGAACUCCUGACCUCGUGAUCUGCCCACCUCGGCCUCCCAAAGUGCUAGAAUUACAGGUGUGAGCCACUGCACCCCUCCUAAAUGUCAAUUUAAUAACUGAGGGAGCCCUUAAAAUACCCCGCUGACUUCCACACGGGUGUGUAAAAUAGAAUCUGCUCACGUCUUAGAGGAGAUAAGUACAUGCUUAAUGUUCUUAGGAGAGACCUGCCUUUUGACAUGGAAGCUGUGGUAUUGUUGACAAGAGCAUACCUCCUUAAACCAUGCAAACCACGUUCACAUCAAAGCUGCCUACGAAUGAUUAUUUUCCAUGAUGCUAUGCUCCCUCCUGCCUGCCUCAGUGGCAAGUGUGACUCAGCAAGUGUAUCCAGGGCAUCCCUCACUCUUACUUAUUUUUGCCAAAUGCAGUGGAAAUGUAUAGACUUUUUUUCAUAUUUAUGUUGGCUGCAGAGCAUAAAUCUGAAUAGGUUCUCCAAAGUAAGCUUUUUCUGCAUGCAUUUGCUCCCAAUGAUGAUAGGUAUUAUGAAUUGCUUUAUAGUAAUCAUUAUCCUUUUCCAUAUGUUUUACGGUUAGUCUGUGCUAUAAACUUGUUUGAUUU